rfam:Cochliobolus heterostrophus C5 unplaced genomic scaffold COCHEscaffold_47, whole genome shotgun sequence.
ACUAUGUUGUGGCAAAUCCUAUGCAAACUCCUGCAGCUAUCGUUCCAGAAUGAUAUUAAAGAAGAUGUUAUUUAAAAAUCUCGCUAAAUGCUGGAAAAUCCUACGUGUGGGUAACUAAAGUAUAGUUAUAUUAAACUAGGACAAUCAGCAGGAAACCAAAGGACAAAUAAAUAUCCUAGUAGGAUCCUCAGAGACUACACGCGAGACAAUUUAAAUUAAGAGAACUUGUAUUAAGUUUUAAUUAAGUAUACUUAUAGGUAUAUGAUUUAUUAAUAAAAAUAUUCCAACAAAAAGUUUAAUUAAUAAUUUAAAUUGAAGAUAUAGUCCUAUCAUAGAAGAAAUUCUAUG